CAGUAGCCGCGGUAAUACGUAGGGUGCGAGCGUUAAUCGGAAUUACUGGGCGUAAGGCGUGCGCAGGCGGUUAUAUAAGACAGUUGUGAAAUCCCCGGGCUCAACCUGGGAACUGCAUCUGUGACUGUAUAGCUAGAGUACGGUAUAGGGGGAUGGAAUUCCGCGUGUAGCAGUGAAAUGCGUAGAUAUGCGGAGGAACACCGAUGGCGAAGGCAAUCCCCUGGACCUGUACUGACGCUCAUGCACGAAAGCGUGGGGAGCAAACAGGAUUAGAUACCCCUGUAGUCCCUGUCUCUUAUAC
rnacentral:rRNA from 1 species